rnacentral:rRNA from 1 species
AGCAGCCGCGGUAAUUCCAGCUCCAAUAGCGUAUAUUAAAGUUGUUGCAGUUAAAAAGCUCGUAGUUGAAUUUCGAGACCGGUUUAUUGGUCGUGCUUUUGUACGUACUGGUAUUAUUGGUUUCUCCUUUCUGACGAAUCUUAAUGCCAUUAAUUUGGUGUUUUGGGGAAUCAGGACUGUUACUUUGAAAAAAUUAGAGUGUUUAAAGCAGGCUCACGCUUGAAUACAUUAGCAUGGAAUAACGGAAUAGGACGUUUGAUUCUAUUUUGUUGGUUUCUAGGAUCGACGUAAUGAUUAAUAGGGAUAGUUGGGGGCAUUAGUAUUCAAUUGUCAGAGGUGAAAUUCUUGGAUUUAUUGAAGACUAACUACUGCGAAAGCAUUUGCCAAGGAUGUUUUCAUUAAUCAAGAACGAAAGUUAGGGGAUCGAAGACGAUCAGAUACCGUCGUAGUCUUAACCAUAAACUAUGCCGACUAGGGAUCGGGAUGAUGUUAAUUUUUAAUGACUCAUUCGGCGCCU